rnacentral:lncRNA from 1 species
ACUACAUAAGUCCAAAAAUCGCAUAACUACGUCUCACAUCGAAAACAACACCAAAAUUACUUCAUUUCCUUGAGAAAAAUGAUAAAUCUCACAACUUAAUCAAUAAAUAGACGUUACAGAACUGGAAAAAACCUGGAGGUGGAGGUGGAGGUAAUGGCGUGGGAGGAGGAGGAGGUGGAAGGCGUUUACUGAAUAUGGAGGAAAAGAAGCGGUGAGCACCGGAAGUUAUGAGCUUUGACGCCGGAUCAACCACAAGCUUUGUGAGCCAACUAGGGUUUCGGAGGGCCGUCGGUGGACGAUCAUACGGAGUCGUCUGGUUCCGUCGUAACGGUCUCUUCCUAAACUUCCCUCCGGCUCCUCCUCCUUCAUAUGCUCCCGCCGACGCUGACGCCGCCGUCCCAUCACCCGCCGUCGACAUUUUACUGAAAGCUUCGAGAAAAACAGAGAAGAGAGAGAACACCACACCAAGUACCAAAAUUGAAGAGAGAGAAAGAGAGAUGAAGAGAGGGAAAUUAGGG